rnacentral:rRNA from 1 species
AUUGAACGCUGGCGGCAGGCCUAACACAUGCAAUUCGAGCGGAGCGGCGGACGGGUGAGUAAUGCCUCGGAAUCUGCCUGGUAGUGGGGGAUAACGUCCGGAAGCGGGCGCUAAUACCGCAUACUAUCAGAUGAGCUUAGGUCGGAUUAGCUAGUUGGUGGGGUAAAGGCCUACCAAGGCGACGAUCCAUAACUGGUCUGAGAGGAUGAUCAUUCACACUGGAACUGAGACACGGUCCCGAGUCCGACGGGAGGCAGCAGUGGGGAAUAUUGGACAAUUGGCGAAAGCCUGAUCCAGCCAUGCCGCGUGUGUGAAGAAGUUCUUCGGAUUGUAAUGCACUUUAAGUUGGGAGGCGGUACCAACAGAAUAAGCACCGGCUAACUCCGUGCCAGCCGCCGCUGUAAUUC